UACGAAGGGGGCUAGCGUUGCUCGGAAUCACUGGGCGUAAAGCGCACGUAGGCGGAUUGCUAAGUCAGGGGUGAAAUCCUGGAGCUCAACUCCAGAACUGCCUUUGAUACUGGCGACCUUGAGUCCGGGAGAGGUGAGUGGAACUGCGAGUGUAGAGGUGAAAUUCGUAGAUAUUCGCAAGAACACCAGUGGCGAAGGCGGGUCUCUGGGCAGUAACUGACGCUGAGGCGCGAAAGCGUGGGGAGCAAACAGG
rnacentral:rRNA from 1 species